UGCUCGGCGAUCAGCAUUUGGCUUUUUCCAUUUGUGGCAGAUUACUGUAACGCUAUUGUACAACAACUUCCUGCCUCUUUUGGCACGGGUUCUAAAAAAAAUCUGCAAAAGCAGAGCUCGUGGCUUCAAACCUUUUCCCCCCUCGGCCUUGAACUGCAGGAGCUUUAUAAGAAAAGAAAAGGAGGAAGGAGAUAUGUAAAGUUUGUCUGUUACUGAGGAACUAUUUUCAUUGCAUCUCAGCUUUAUAAACUGCUGAGAAUUAAAGAGGGGACUUCAUGCCUAGCAGACAAUGAAAGAAAAAAGAUGUUUUACUCUCCAGGAGCAGGAGUGGAGUCUAUGAGGUGGUCUUGCUUAAGCCCCGCACGUGUCUAAACAACUUCUCUAUUACACCCGAGACCUUUGAGGGCACUCCCCAUCGAGCGGGGAACAAAGGCCAUGACCCCGGGGUCAAAAGCGUUACACGGGAGGCCAAGCGGGCCCAUUGAAUGCAGCACUGUUUGCUUUAAGAAGGAAUCGGAAAGAGGGAGAAGAGGAGGAAAGAGACACAGAGGGAAAAGGAGCAAAGGAGACUUUCUUGUGGGAACAAGCUGGAAAUUAUGGACCAAUUCGAUAUGAGACCUCGGAGUGGAAGACCUAUCCGAAGAGGGACACGCCCUAACUGUAACUAACAACUACUUCUGGCAGCCCUUCAACAGCCAAACAUAUUGUCCUGGAUCAGGUCAGAGAACCAGGGCAGCCUCGGCAAGAAAUCCACAUUCAACUAGUACCAAUGGUGGAAUUUAAAUGUAGUCAACUAAUGGGUUUUCAAUUAGAUUUAGAUUAAGCUUUAAACUAUUAUUAGGAUUUUGCUUAUCAAAUGUAAAAAGACUACAGAAACACACAUUCAACCAAUAUGUCUACACUUUGAGACUCUGAGACAAAAAGGGCGACAGUUGCAGGUUUUUUAAAUUACUACUAAAUAUAAUCUUUUCUAUUAUUUUGUAUAAUAUACAUGUUACCCAUGUUCUCGUCCUAUGACGUCACAAGUUAAAUUAACCCCUCUUACAACAUGUUACUCAUUUCACAUUGCUGUCAUAAUUCAAAUAUUUUUGAAAUACAUUUUCAUUUAACCCUUUCUGACAAAAAAUAAAUAUAGCCGAAGUAAGCAAAGCCACUUUUACAUUUACAUGUGACUCACUAUAAUAAAGAAUGAUUUGAUACUAAAAUAAAAUGUCUUUACAUUAAUCAAAGGGCUCCUUUAAAAUAGAAAUAGAGAGAUAUUUGAACUUAUUGAAAAUACUGUAUAAUUAAAGUAAUAAUGAAAAUCAAAUUGACUGCAAAACACUAAUCAAAGACAUUACGUACUGCAGAGACAAAUUCUCAAAGUCAUUGACACGCUAUUGUAAAAAAGCAAAUUCUCUAUUUCUGUCCUCUUCAAUUGCCUUUGCUUCUACAUACCUGAACUCUCCCUUUGCAGUUUUACCCUCAGAGCAGCUACACCUACUGUAAACCGCCUUGGCCAUUUUGUUUUAUUCUUCCUCAACACUAAGCCAGGAGUGCACAGGCCUGGCAUUUUAGGCGCCACGUCACAACGCCUGUGUCUGCACUGCAGGGCUGCAAGGUGUCCAGCAGCCACGGCACUCAGCAGCGCACUGCCUCAACAAACACUGUGUGCACCUCUUGUUGUUUUAAGAUAGUCCCUAGCAUCCCUGCUUCUACUGACAACAGCAAAACAUACACCGAAAGCUUUAGAAAUGUCCUAAACAUGCUGUCAUCCAGGUCUUCUCUCCAACACAGAGCCACUGAGCCUUCAGCCCUGCAUCACUUCACAGAAAUUACCUCAGUAAAGUUAGCUCACACACACAGUAGAUAUGAUACUCAUCCAAUUGAGCAAUGAUUUUUUUAAUGAAGUUGGUAACCGCUUCUACAUUUCUGCACAAUAAUCUGUGUGAUCUUUUAAAAGGUAACACAGUCCUGAUAUUGAUAUAAAAGAUAAAGAUAAAAACACUGAUUAUGUCAAUUCCACUGGGCUGAUUAACUGUCAUUGAGGUGCAUUUGUCAUGUUGCAUAAAGAUAUUUAUAAUAUUUGUAUAAUUAUUUUUGUUAUGAUUAUUAUUUAUUUAUAUUGAUUUUGUAUGUGUAUUAAACUGUACAUUGGAUCACAUUUUUUAUCUUAUUUUGACAUUUUUUUAAUUAAUUCAGAUUUAGCUGUGUGUGGUUUUAUAUAUUUUAGAGUAUUGCAAAGUUACAUUAUUGUAAAUAUGACCCUUAAUUGUACAGUACAGCUUUUUG